rnacentral:tRNA from 1 species
GGGUUGUGGCUCAGUGAUAGAGUACUUGCUUGGCAUGUGUGAAGCCCUGGGUUUGAUUCUCAGCACUCCA